UAUUAUGAGAGUUUGAUCCUGGCUCAGGACGAACGCUGGCGGCGUGCCUAAUACAUGCAAGUCGAACGCUUCUUUUUCCACCGGAGCUUGCUCCACCGGAAAAAGAGGAGUGGCGAACGGGUGAGUAACACGUGGGUAACCUGCCCAUCAGAAGGGGAUAACACUUGGAAACAGGUGCUAAUACCGUAUAACAAUCGAAACCGCAUGGUUUCGGUUUGAAAGGCGCUUUACGGUGCCGCUGAUGGAUGGACCCGCGGUGCAUUAGCUAGUUGGUGAGGUAACGGCUCACCAAGGCCACGAUGCAUAGCCGACCUGAGAGGGUGAUCGGCCACAUUGGGACUGAGACACGGCCCAAACUCCUACGGGAGGCAGCAGUAGGGAAUCUUCGGCAAUGGACGAAAGUCUGACCGAGCAACGCCGCGUGAGUGAAGAAGGUUUUCGGAUCGUAAAACUCUGUUGUUAGAGAAGAACAAGGGUGAGAGUAACUGUUCACCCCUUGACGGUAUCUAACCAGAAAGCCACGGCUAACUACGUGCCAGCAGCCGCGGUAAUACGUAGGUGGCAAGCGUUGUCCGGAUUUAUUGGGCGUAAAGCGAGCGCAGGCGGUUUCUUAAGUCUGAUGUGAAAGCCCCCGGCUCAACCGGGGAGGGUCAUUGGAAACUGGGAGACUUGAGUGCAGAAGAGGAGAGUGGAAUUCCAUGUGUAGCGGUGAAAUGCGUAGAUAUAUGGAGGAACACCAGUGGCGAAGGCGGCUCUCUGGUCUGUAACUGACGCUGAGGCUCGAAAGCGUGGGGAGCAAACAGGAUUAGAUACCCUGGUAGUCCACGCCGUAAACGAUGAGUGCUAAGUGUUGGAGGGUUUCCGCCCUUCAGUGCUGCAGCUAACGCAUUAAGCACUCCGCCUGGGGAGUACGACCGCAAGGUUGAAACUCAAAGGAAUUGACGGGGGCCCGCACAAGCGGUGGAGCAUGUGGUUUAAUUCGAAGCAACGCGAAGAACCUUACCAGGUCUUGACAUCCUUUGACCACUCUAGAGAUAGAGCUUCCCCUUCGGGGGCAAAGUGACAGGUGGUGCAUGGUUGUCGUCAGCUCGUGUCGUGAGAUGUUGGGUUAAGUCCCGCAACGAGCGCAACCCUUAUUGUUAGUUGCCAUCAUUUAGUUGGGCACUCUAGCAAGACUGCCGGUGACAAACCGGAGGAAGGUGGGGAUGACGUCAAAUCAUCAUGCCCCUUAUGACCUGGGCUACACACGUGCUACAAUGGGAAGUACAACGAGUCGCGAAGUCGCGAGGCUAAGCUAAUCUCUUAAAGCUUCUCUCAGUUCGGAUUGUAGGCUGCAACUCGCCUACAUGAAGCCGGAAUCGCUAGUAAUCGCGGAUCAGCACGCCGCGGUGAAUACGUUCCCGGGCCUUGUACACACCGCCCGUCACACCACGAGAGUUUGUAACACCCGAAGUCGGUGAGGUAACCUUUUGGAGCCAGCCGCCUAAGGUGGGAUAGAUGAUUGGGGUGAAGUCGUAACAAGGUAGCCGUAUCGGAAGGUGCGGCUGGAUCACCUCCUUU
rnacentral:rRNA from 3 species